UGAUACUGAUAUUCUUGAAUGUAGUUGAGGUGGGCGGAAUGUGUAAUGUAGCGGGUGAAAUGCUAUAGAUAUUACACAGAAACACCGAUGCGUAAGGCAGCUCACUAAACUUACAUUGACGCUGAGUCACGAAAGCUUGGGGAGCGAACAGGAUUAGAUACCCUGGUAGUCCACGCUGUAAACUUAUGAUCACUCGCUGUUGGCAAUACAUCGUCAGCGGCUGAGCGAAAGCAUUAAGUGAUCCACCUGGGGAUUACGAUCGCAAGAUUGAUACUCAAAGGAAUUGACGGGGGCCCGCACAAGCGGAGGAACAUGUGGUUUAAUUCGAUGAUACGCGAGGAACCUUACCUGGGCUUAAAUGCAGAUCGACGUUCCGGGAAACCGGAAUUCCUUCGGGCGAACUGCAAGGUGCUGCAUGGCUGUCGUCAGCUCGUGCCGUGAGGUGUCGGGUUAAGUCCCAUAACGAGCGCAACCCUUAUCGUUAGUUGCCAGCGGGUAAUGCCGGGGACUCUAACGAAACUGCCGGUGUAAACCGUGAGGAAGGUGGGGAUGACGUCAAGUCAGCACGGCCCUUAUGUCCAGGGCUACACAC
rnacentral:rRNA from 1 species